UAGAACACGUUCAGUCCGUAUCUACCCAAAGUUUCCAUUAUCUUUGGAUGGCGAUGCGUCUCUUAUGAAUGUUUCCUGUCUCCGACUGGAAUUAUACGGCUGCUCUGCCCCUGUUGAUGGCUCGUGGGGCGCGUGAGUAGAAUAGAAAGUUGGCGUUGCGAGAUCAAUUUGAAAAUGACUUCGAAGUCUACUCAAUACUACGUAAAAUUUGAUAGAAACUAUUUUAAAAACCCCAAAAAGUUAUACUUUAUGCAUAAGAAAAUUUUCAAUCAUGAUUCUUGUAAAAAAAAUAAAAUUAUAGUUUCCAAAAAAAAUCUUCACGAAAAAAAGAAACAUCUGUGAUAUUAUUUUACGAAAUCACAAAAAAACCAGAGAAAUGUCAAAGGAUACAUCUCGUUCUUCUAUGUCAUUUUUUUUUACAUAACAUUAAUGUCAUUAUAUUUUGUAGGAUCCAUUGUAAUUUAGAAAUUCAUGAUGAAAUAAAAAUGAUGACUGUCUUA